AUUGAACGCUGGCGGCAUGCUUUACACAUGCAAGUCGAACGGUAACAGGGAGCUUGCUCGCUGACGAGUGGCGAACGGGUGAGUAAUGCAUCGGAACGUGCCUAUUUGUGGGGGAUAACGUAGCGAAAGUUACGCUAAUACCGCAUACGCCCUGAGGGGGAAAGCGGGGGAUCGAAAGACCUCGCGCGAUUGGAGCGGCCGAUGUCAGAUUAGCUAGUUGGUGGGGUAAAGGCCCACCAAGGCGACGAUCUGUAGCUGGUCUGAGAGGACGACCAGCCACACUGGGACUGAGACACGGCCCCAGACUCCUACGGGAGGCAGCAGUGGGGAAUUUUGGACAAUGGGCGCAAGCCUGAUCCAGCCAUGCCGCGUGUGUGAAGAAGGCCUUAGGGUUGUAAAGCACUUUCAGCGAGGAGGAAGGGGUUGUAGUUAAUAGCUGCAAUCUUUGACGUUACUCGCAGAAGAAGCACCGGCUAACUCUGUG
rnacentral:rRNA from 1 species